rnacentral:lncRNA from 1 species
CGUCAUGUUCACGUCGUAUAGCUUUUAUGGAGAGAGGAGGACUGGCGGAGUGUCCAGUGCUUUCGAAAUGAGGCUUGUAGUUAUAUUUCUAGGUUCCAGAGGAUGUUUAUAAAGAUAAAAUAUUAAAAAAAAUGACUUUUAAAUAUAAAGCGAGUUUUUUUGUGGACUGAAGACUGAUGUUCCCUCACGGUGCAUUAGCGAGCAGCUUGGGUUCCCAGGACACCGUGCGGUGAAAGAGGCGCCCCCUGCUGGAUGAGCCCGGAAGCGCGUGUCGAACAGGAGGGACGGAGCGGAGCCUCAACGUGCAGCGCCAGGUGUGUUCAGCUCAGAGGAUGGAGACCAGUACCCUUGCUGUGUAUCAGUCACCUGAAAUUCAAUAAAUAUUUUAGUCCCUUAGUGUACCUUUCGUGGAAGAGUCACUUUACUGAAAAUACCACAGGGUGGUGAAUACAAGGGGGUGGCACAGUGCCUCUGCUGUGAGAGGACAGGGGUUUGAUCCCUGCUCAGUGUGCAUGUUCUUCCUGCCGGGGGGGUUUCCUCUCACAGUCCAAAGAGAGGUUGUUCAUCUUCACCCAUAGCAGGUCAGUGCCUGUGUUCCACUGCUGCAUGGAUGAGUGAGUGUUUGGAGGUAGUGGCUCUAACACUAAGUCAUCCUGGUGAGGGUGUGUGGACUGAACAAGUUCAUGGGAAAUCACUUGAGCUCAAGUCCUUCUGUCAUCUCCCACACCCAACUCCUUCACGAGUUAGACUUGGCGUGGAGCAGCUUCUUUAUGGUUUAGAUGAUUCCAACUCCCC